GGUCGUAUGGGGUAAUGGUUAUCCCUUCGGAUUUUGAUUCCGACAAUCCCGGUUCGAUCCCGGGUACGACCU
rfam:Aspergillus niger supercontig An01